rnacentral:misc_RNA from 1 species
UACGUAGGUGGCGAACGUUAUCCGGAAUUACUGGGCGUAAAGGGUCCGCAGGCGGCGGACAAGGUCGGACGUGACAGCGCGCGGCUCAACUGCGCGAGGCCGUUCGAAACCGGUCGGCUGGAAUCCGGCAGAGGUCGGUGGAAUUCCCGGUGUAGUGGUGGAAUGCGUAGAGAUCGGGAGGAACGCCACAAGCGAAGGCAACCGGCUGGGUCGAGAUUGACGCUGAGGGACGAAAGCGUGGGGAGCGAACAGG